rnacentral:rRNA from 1 species
AUUGAACGCUGGCGGCAGGCCUAACACAUGCAAGUCGAGCGGUAGAAGGGAGCUUGCUCCCGGAUACAGCGGCGGACGGGUGAGUAAUGCCUAGGAACCUCCCUGGUAGUUGGGUAUAACGUCCGAAAACGGGCGCUAUUACCGCAUACACCCUGACGGCCAAAGGGGGGGAUCUUCGGACCUCACGCUAUCAGAUGAGCCCAUGUCGGAUUAGCUAGUUGGCGGGGUAAAGGCCUACCAAGGCGACGAUCCGUAACUCGUCUGAGAGGAUGAUCAGUCACCCUGGAACUUAGACACGGUCCAGACUCCUAAGGGAGGCAGCAGUGGGGAAUAUUGGACAAUGGGCGAAAGCCUGAUCCAGCCAUGCCGCGUGUGUGAAGAAGGUCUUCGGGUUGUAAAGCACUUUAAGUGGGGAGGAAGGGCAGUAAGUUAAUACCCAGCUGUUUUGACGGUACCAACAGAAUAAGCACCGGCUAACUUCGUG